GACGAACGCUGGCGGCAUGCCUAAUACAUGCAAGUCGAGCGAACAGAUGAAGUGCUUGCACUUCUGACGUUAGCGGCGAACGGGUGAGUAACACGUAAGGAAUCUACCUAUAAGCGGGGGAUAACAUUCGGAAACGGGUGCUAAUACCGCAUAAUAUCUUCUUCCGCAUGGAAGAAGAUUGAAAGACGGCUCUGCUGUCACUUAUAGAUGACCUUGCGGUGCAUUAGUUAGUUGGUGGGGUAACGGCCUACCAAGACGAUGAUGCAUAGCCGACCUGAGAGGGGGGUCGGCCACAUUGGGACUGAGAAACGGCCCAAACUCCUACGGGAGGCAGCAGUAGGGAAUCUUCCGCAAUGGGCGAAAGCCUGACGGAGCAAUGCCGCGUGAGUGAAGAAGGCCUUCGGGUCGUAAAACUCUGUUAUAAGAGAAGAACAAAUUGUAGAGUAACUGCUACAGUCUUGACGGUAUCUUAUCAGAAAGCCACGGCUAACUACGUGCCAGCCGCCGCAGUAA
rnacentral:rRNA from 1 species